rnacentral:rRNA from 1 species
CCUACGGGGGGCAGCAGGGAGGAAUAUUGGUCAAUGGACGAGAGUCUGAACCAGCCAAGUAGCGUGAAGGAUGACUGCCCUAUGGGUUGUAAACUUCUUUUAUAUGGGAAUAAAAUGUUCCACGUGUGGGAUUUUGUAUGUACCAUAUGAAUAAGGAUCGGCUAACUCCGUGCCAGCAGCCGCGGUAAUACGGAGGAUCCGAGCGUUAUCCGGAUUUAUUGGGUUUAAAGGGAGCGUAGGUGGAUUGUUAAGUCAGUUGUGAAAGUUUGCGGCUCAACCGUAAAAUUGCAGUUGAAACUGGCAGUCUUGAGUACAGUAGAGGUGGGCGGAAUUCGUGGUGUAGCGGUGAAAUGCUUAGAUAUCACGAAGAACUCCGAUUGCGAAGGCAGUUCACUGGACUGCAACUGACACUGAGGCUCGAAAGUGUGGGUAUCAAACAGGAUUAGAUACCCUUGUAGUC